AUGUGUGAGCACCCAGCUCACUCUCGUUUCUCCCUCUGCAGAGGGUGGUCCCUGGCAGCAUGAGUGGGAGAAGGGGCAGCAGAGACUGUGGACCCCUCAGCUGCACCUAAGACCUCUGUGUGGUCUAGCUGUGUGUGCUGGGGGAGGCUUUUGGCCACCAUUUCCCCCUCUGUAAAUGAGACCGAUACCUGUGUGAGUGCCAAGGCCGGUGUGAGUGCCAAGCACUAGGAGAAGGACCCUGAGUGAGCAUGGACGUGGGAGCAGGGGUGUUCCUCGACUUUAUACACCUUGGGGGUGGGAGUGGGGCUCCCUGCAUGGGUUGACAAGGCAUUGCUUUUCCCCACCCCACCUCUGUCCCAGCCCUGCAAGUCCAAUCCUUGGGGGUCUAGGAGGGAAGAAGCCCCUGGCUGUGUGACCUUAGGCUGGUGCCUGGCCCUCUCUGGCUCUGAGUUUCUGGGAAAGUCAGCACCCAAGGAACGCCCUCCAGUUUAGCACCUUGACAAGAAAGGUGGGGACACUGGGAUCAGGUCCACCCCUCUGGUCCCAAACCUCUUGGCCCCAGCUGGAGGAUGAGGAGAUGCUGGGCUUGGGUGGGGGAAUCAGGGGUGUAAAGGGGCCUGCUCACCCCUCAGCUUGGCUCAAAGGCUCAAGGCAUCAAAGGCUCAGCCUGCCCCUCAGGAAGCAGCCCGGGCCCAGCGAGACACUCACCAGGACAAGGGCAACUGUGAUGAGCAGGAGGCCCAGGAUAAGGAGAGCCACGGCAUAGCUGGAGGUGAAGGUGUCCAGGGGGCUGGAGGCUUUGGGGCUAGGAGAGCCUAGAGCAGAGCAAGAAGGCUAUGACCAGGCAAGGCGCUGCCUCGGACUUCUCAGAAGGCAGAAUCUGCACCCAGAAGGUGCUGCGGGAACAGAGAGCUGGGGCUGGAAGCACCUUGGAGGGCUCCACGAGGAGGGAAGGCAGGCUUCAGAUCAGGGCAUGCGGAGGCAGCAAGUCCAAGGGAGGAGGCAGAUGGACAGAGGGAGGGGGCCUGCAGAGGGGAAGAGGUACUGACCGAGGUCUAGGAUGACCGUGUCUACCAAGAGGCCCUCUGCCUCCCCCACGGUGUGCAGACCCUGUCACACACAGUCUCACACGAGGGCCUGGGCUGGCGCUGCCCUGAAGAAGGUGGCAACCAAUCUGGUGGUCAGUGGGUCCGGCCUAGUGGGACGAUCAUGACAGACUUCAGGGGCCUGGGCAGCCUUAGAGGACUAGGGUAGGUCAUCUCUUCCAGCCUCGUGCCCUCAACCCCAGAACCCUGGUCUGAGUCCUGGGUCACCCAGGACCACCCUGGACCCACUGGAAUUCGUCCAGCACCACUUGGUCAAAGUUCUGCAGAGAUCUGAGGACAAGGGUCAGCUGGGGGUCAGGAGAGGAUGAAGAGGGUCACAGCUCUACCAGACGAAGCCUCAUUCCUUGUGGCGCCCGGCCCACCCCUCUGAUGUGGGCCCUAAACCUCCGGCUGGCCCAGCCCUGCAGAGAACUGAGUCCCAGAGGAGGUGCAGGUGGAGUCAUUGAAGCAACACUGCAGCUGGACCUGGGUCUGAGUCCCUGCUCCUGGCUGUGAGAUGCGCCUCUCCCUCUGUUUAUUCAUCUGAAGGAUAGGGCUGUGCUGUUCUGGGUUUGCUGUGACAAUUGAACUGGCCUCUGUGAGUUGGUGGUGGCCUCCUGAGAUGGCUUGAGAAGUACAGAGGAACCUGGUGCCAGCCUCAGUCAACCCCGAUGUGAUGAUCUUUCUACCCAUCCUCUUUGAUGUCUUGAUUCUGGCUGAUGUCCUUGGCCAGACCUGCAAGUCCAAUCCUUGGGGGUCUAGGAGGGAAGAAGCCCCUGGCUGUGAGGCCUCGGGCUGGACCCUGGCCCUCUCUGGCUCUGAGUUCCUGGGAAAGUCGGUGGUGUUGGAACUCCGGAUUCAUUCCUCAGCGUUGAGGCACUGUCUGUGGAAGCUGUGGGACAAGGUGAAGGUGGGGAGAGGAGAGGCUUGGAGUUUGGGUUUCAGCAGAGGGAUCAGCAGAGUGAGGGGUCGCCUGUGUGUAGAGGAAAGGGAGUGAAGGCCAGGAGUGAGGAAUGAGUCUGAGUGCACCCAGGAUGGUGCUGGAUCUCCUCCCACAUCCACCUGGCCCUGGUCAGGGGAGAAGAAAGACCACAAGACAAAGGGGAAACUGAGUUGGGUUCACACAUGUCCUUCCAGGACCUGGAGGUGCCACUGUCUGGCCAUUAUGCAGUGAGAAGUGGGAGAAGGAAGAUUCCCUCCCCAUACCUCGUGUUCUCUGUCCCAGGUCUCCUGGCCCCCUGUGCACCUAAGUUCAGUCUCUGUCGGCCCCCAGCAUCAUUUCUAGGGUUGGUGGGAGGCAGCUGGGAACAGGCUAGGGGUAGGUGGAGCCUGCUUGGGGGAGUCUGCUUGACUGCUUGGGCCACUGCCCAUGGUAGUGGGGAGCUUUUCUGGCACACUGACUGCACCACCCAGGCGCUGCCAAUGACAGCCCCCAGGGAGUGUUUGCAGAAGGCCUUGGCAGUGGAGGUGGCGGACUCCACCAAGAACAAACACCUGGGGUGGGGUCAGGGAGAACCACCCUCCACUUACCUGUCUGGAGUGUCCUCUGUACCGCACUGUGCGAGUCUACACUCCCAGGCUGAACACCCUGAGGGAGGCCCUCCACUUUAGCACCUUGACAAGAAGGGCAGGGACACCGAGAUCAGGCCCAGCCCCCUACCCCCAAAUCCUGCAACCCCAGCUGGGGGCUGAGGAGAUGCUGUGCUUGGGUGGGGGAAACAGGGGUGUAAAGGGGCCUGCUCACCCCUCAGCUUGGCUCAAAGGCUCAAGGCGUCAAAGGCUCAGCCUGCCCCUCAAGAAGGAGCCCGAGCCCAGCCAGAUACUUACCAGGACAAGGGUGAAUGUGAUGAGCAGAAGGCCCAGAAUGAAGAGAGCCUUGGCAUAGCUGGGGAUGGAGGUGUCCAGAGGGCUGGAGGCUUUGGGGCUAGGAGUGCCUAGAGCAGAACAAGAAAGCCAUGGCCAGGCAGGGCCCUGGAUCCCAUACUUCUGAGGAGGCAGAAUCUGGGCCCAGAAAGUUAUAUGUCAUGGACCAACCUCAAAAACAUUAGCUAAGUAAAAAAGCCAGACAUGAGACCACAUAUUGCAUAACUCAAUUGAUUUGAAAUGUCCAAAAAAGGCAAACUGAUAGAGACUGAAAUGGGCUGAUUUACGUCAAGAGGCAGCGACUCAAGCUCUCUAGACUACAGGUAAUAUAUCUAUGAGAAAAAAUAAGGAAAAGAAAAGAAACUUAAAUAUAAAUAAAUGAAAAUAAUACUUCUCCCUGAUUAUAAAGAAAAUCACAUUAUUUUUAUAAUAAUUCAGAAGACAAAAUAUGAAGAAAAGUCUUUAAUUUUGCCAU